rnacentral:rRNA from 1 species
UGCUCAGGAUGAACGCCGGCGGCGUGCCUAAUACAUGCAAGUCGAGCGAAUGGAUUAAGAGCUUGCUCUUAUGAAGUUAGCGGCGGACGGGUGAGUAACACGUGGGUAACCUGCCCAUAAGACUGGGAUAACUCCGGGAAACCGGGGCUAAUACCGGAUAACAUUUUGAACCGCAUGGUUCGAAAUUGAAAGGCGGCUUCGGCUGUCACUUAUGGAUGGACCCGCGUCGCAUUAGCUAGUUGGUGAGGUAACGGCUCACCAAGGCAACGAUGCGUAGCCGACCUGAGAGGGUGAUCGGCCACACUGGGACUGAGACACGGCCCAGACUCCUACGGGAGGCAGCAGUAGGGAAUCUUCCGCAAUGGACGAAAGUCUGACGGAGCAACGCCGCGUGAGUGAUGAAGGCUUUCGGGUCGUAAAACUCUGUUGUUAGGGAAGAACAAGUGCUAGUUGAAUAAGCUGGCACCUUGACGGUACCUAACCAGAAAGCCACGGCUAACUACGUGCCAGCAGCCGCGGUAAUACGUAGGUGGCAAGCGUUAUCCGGAAUUAUUGGGCGUAAAGCGCGCGCAGGUGGUUUCUUAAGUCUGAUGUG